rnacentral:rRNA from 1 species
UACGUAUGUGGCGAGCGUUGUCCGGAUUUACUGGGCGUAAAGGGAGCGUAGGCGGACUUUUAAGUGAGAUGUGAAAUACCCGGGCUCAACUUGGGUGCUGCAUUUCAAACUGGAAGUCUAGAGUGCAGGAGAGGAGAAUGGAAUUCCUAGUGUAGCGGUGAAAUGCGUAGAGAUUAGGAAGAACACCAGUGGCGAAGGCGAUUCUCUGGACUGUAACUGACGCUGAGGCUCGAAAGCGUGGGGAGCAAACAGGAUUAGAUA